UGCAGCCUUGAACUCCUGCGCUCAAGUAAUCUGCCCACCUCAGCCUCCUGAGUAGCUGUUUGUACAGGCGUACACUGCCAUGCCUCUCUCCCUCUCUCCUGCUCCACCAUGAUCUAUAGCCAGUUGCCUUGGAAUCUCUGCUGAGUACUUCAUCAAGCACCUGCUGUUUGAAGAGGGAAUAAGCCAGAAUAAAAUUCUCGCUCUUCAGAGUAAUGGAGCAUGAGUCUGCCACACAGAACUUUAGAGAGAGUCCUUUAUUUCAAAGACUGUAAAGUUGGAAGAAUUCAUUCAUCUGCAAAGUCAAAUGUCAAAAGUUGUGCUUCCCACUCCUCAUCAGGCCUGUGGUUAACAAUGCACUCGACUGACAGCUCUGUCAUGCAACAGGGUGCGUGAGAUCGCGAGAGCUGAUUGAUGCCUCUGCCUCUACAGUCUGAAAAGUUGCCAGACCAUAUGCUACUUAGUUUAGCCUGUGUGCAUCCUGCCCUGGGACCUGAUUUCUACUUUAUCUUUAAAAAUAUAAAACCUUGGUGCCCUUUAAGUUCUGCUACUGUCUUAAAGUUUUAAAGAAGACAUCAAUGGGUCCAA
rnacentral:lncRNA from 1 species